AAGUUGUAACAAGGUUUCUGUAGGUGAACCUGCAGAAGGAUUAUUACUACAACAAUUAGGCGUUGCAAAAAUCCUCGCUUGCGGGGUCACGCUAUUAAUUACCCUUUGCCUACUAUACUGCUUAUUAUUUCCUUAGCAGGCUUGCCUGCCACUAGGAAUCAUUCAAACCCUUGUAUACAAGUAUCAAAACCUCUAAUAACAACCUAAUUAUUUACAA
rnacentral:misc_RNA from 1 species